rnacentral:SRP_RNA from 1 species
GGGGCUGUGCAAUGGUUUUACGGCGAACCCCGCCAGGUUCGGAAGAAAGCAACGGUAGUCGUUUAAGCUGUGUGCCGCAGUUA